rnacentral:ncRNA from 1 species
AUGACAGCGAUGAGCAAGAUCAGUAAGCAGAAGUGCUCCUUUACAGGGAAGAGGAACCUUAGACUGCAAGUGCCUCUAUGGAAGCGACUGCUGAAUUCACUUGUGAGCUGAAUCUUUGAACAGAAGACAGAUGAUUGUCUUCUAAAUAGAGGGUUUCCGGUUUUAGCCACCGUUAUCAGGUUCGAAAGUGGAAAGAAAGAGCUGAGCCUAUUUCAGGAUCUUUCUUUCAAAAAGGGUGGUACCACGGAAAGACUUUCGUCCCUUUA